AGAGUUUGAUCCUGGCUCAGAAUGAACGCUGGCGGCAUGCCUAACACAUGCAAGUCGAACGAAGCCUUCGGGCUUAGUGGCGCACGGGUGCGUAACGCGUGGGAAUCUGCCCUUGGGUUCGGAAUAACAGGAAGAAAUUCCUGCUAAUACCGGAUAAUGACGUAAGUCCAAAGAUUUAUCGCCCAAGGAUGAGCCCGCGUAGGAUUAGCUAGUUGGUGAGGUAAAAGCUCACCAAGGCGACGAUCCUUAGCUGGUCUGAGAGGAUGAUCAGCCACACUGGGACUGAGACACGGCCCAGACUCCUACGGGAGGCAGCAGUGGGGAAUAUUGGACAAUGGGCGCAAGCCUGAUCCAGCAAUGCCGCGUGAGUGAUGAAGGCCUUCGGGUUGUAAAGCUCUUUCGCACGCGACGAUGAUGACGGUAGCGUGAGAAGAAGCCCCGGCUAACUUCGUGCCAGCAGCCGCGGUAAUACGAAGGGGGCUAGCGUUGUUCGGAAUUACUGGGCGUAAAGGGCGCGUAGGCGGUACUUCAAGUCAGGCGUGAAAGCCCCGGGCUCAACCUGGGAACCGCGCUUGAGACUGGAGAACUAGAGUUCGGGAGAGGAUGGUGGAAUUCCCAGUGUAGAGGUGAAAUUCGUAGAUAUUGGGAAGAACACCGAUGGCGAAGGCAGCCAUCUGGACCGACACUGACGCUGAGGCGCGAAAGCGUGGGGAGCAAACAGGAUUAGAUACCCUAGUAGUCC
rnacentral:rRNA from 1 species